rnacentral:rRNA from 1 species
UACAGAGGUCUCAAGCGUUGUUCGGAUUCAUUGGGCGUAAAGGGUGCGUAGGUGGCUCGCUAAGUCAGGUGUGAAAUUUCGGAGCUUAACUCCGAAACUGCAUUUGAUACUGGCGUGCUUGAGGACUGGAGAGGAGACUGGAAUUCACGGUGUAGCAGUGAAAUGCGUAGAUAUCGUGAGGAAGACCAGUGGCGAAGGCGGGUCUCUGGACAGUUCCUGACACUGAGGCACGAAGGCCAGGGGAGCAAACGGG